rnacentral:misc_RNA from 1 species
GAAAUGCGAUAAGUAAUGUGAAUUGCAGAAUUCAGUGAAUCAUCGAAUCUUUGAACGCACCUUGCGCUCCUUGGUAUUCCUUGGAGCAUGCCUGUUUGAGUAUCAUGGAAUCUUCAAAGUAAAUCUUUUGUUAACUCAAUUGGUUUCUACUUUGGUAUUGGAGGUCUUUGCAGCUUCACACCUGCUCCUCUUUGUUCAUUAGCUGGAUCUCAGUGUUAUGCUUGGUUCCACUCGGCGUGAUAAGUUAUCUAUCGCUGAGGACACUGUAAAAGGUGGCCAAGGUAAAUGCAGAUGAACCGCUUCUAAUAGUCCAUUGACUUGGACAAUACCUUUAUGAUCUGAUCUCAAAUCAGGUAGGACUACCCGCUGAACUUAAGC